UGAAAAUUGUGUUGGUAAUGAAAAAUGUUAACUGCUGCUCAUAUAAAUGAAAAAAAAAAAAGACACUUUGUAUUUUGCAAUGUGUCAUAUAGGAGAAAAUGUUCUUACAUUAAGCAUUCGCUGAUAAGUAGGCAUGUACUGCCUUUCUUCUGAUAACAGGUUUUCCUCAAAUGCUGAUUCAGGUUUGCUAAGUCUUUAGCGCAGCGCUGCAGGCAAUGAAAUUACUUUGUCUUAUAACAAAUUAUUCAGAAACUUUGUAUUAGAUGGAGGACAGCCAAGUCUCUACUCUGGGCUACAAAUAAUCCAGACAGAAGCAGUAGUCGUAUGAGCCUUUCAUAUAUUACAGCUGCCAGGAAAUCAAAUACCUUUUCUUAGCAUUAAUGUCUGACUACAAGAAACUUCUCUGUGCGACACCAGAGGUGCAUUUUGGUGCUGGGAACACCCAGGCCUACGUGGGACACAGGAGAGUCUUCCUGCAGCCCCUGGUGAAGGCGCUGUCUUGCUCUCCUCCUGGUUCGGGUGCAGCAGGAAACACUGAGAUGCUGCAGUGCUAACCAUCUUCAUACAGUCUGUCCUUGUGCUUCAAGGCACCGUUGGGAGCCCAAGGUUUGUGUACGCUGAUUUAUUCGGUCAUAUUGCUAACGAACGCGCUGCCCACCAGGAGAAGACAUUUUAUACGGUGUUUUCAAGCAGCCGCAUCCGAGCUGCGUUGGGAAGGUGAGGCUAGAAUACAAAGUAGUUUAAGGAAAGCGUGGUAAAAAGACGCUGGUAGUCUGUCAAAUGACUUCAUAAAAAUGACAGAAAGUAUUACCGGAGGAGUAAGUUAAAAAGUAUCAUUUAUUUUUAAUGGGCACAACUGUUUACUGUGCAAAAUCAGAACUUAAUGAACAUAUCUGAAGGAAUUCCUGUCUUGUUCUCAAAUUAAGGAACCGUGCACGUUAAAACACUAGUUGAAGUUUUUCAUUAGCAUACAUGGAUGUGAAGCGGUUGUUCAUUAUUCAUGAAAUAACACACGAUUUUCUGUAUGUAUAAUGUUAGGUGAGUCCUGUCUUCUCACCGAAGCAGCUCCUCAAAUACUUCUGAACUGUUGAGCAGAUUUUCAAGCAAGCCUUGAACCCAAACUCCUUACAUCCAUGUUACGACACCUCUCUUGGCAAACCUGGAUAUCUAGUUAGGAAACCUGCUGCUUGCUUGGGUUUUGUGUUAGGUAGCCUUAAACUUCAGAAUUCUUUGCAGUUUUCUCGGGCUCAGUUUUCAGUUUUAUGGCUUCUUGCUUUCAACUUGUGACUCUUUCCCCGAUUUCUUGAUGAUGGAGUUGUGCCACGUCAUUAACUGAGAUGUUUGGGUGUAAGUGCUUGACAUGAUGGAUUUUAUUAUGGUGCUGUUGCAGCCGUGUUGCAGUGGCUGUUUUUAAAAUGUUAUUGACACUCUAAAACAUUAUUUUAAAUAUAAUCGUGCACUGGGAGAACAUCAGUGAAUGGCAGUGUAGGUGAAGAUGAUUUCUGAAGCAGUAAUCCCACAGCCAGUUGGUCUCUCCAAGUAUCUCUUUGGUUGAGCACGUGCACUCUUUUAUUUUGAGCCAUUAACUUUGUAGGAAGGAUUUACUGUUGGAAAUAGAGGAUAAUUUCACAGCUGCUAAUUAAUUCCCAUAUCUGAAGAAAUCACAUGGGUAGAGCUUUACAUGGGAAAUGUUUGUCGUUUUGUCAGAUUUACCUAACUGAAUUUUUGUGGCAGUCAGGCAUCAGACAUUGCAGCUACCUGGGUCUGUUUGUUUGAAGUGGUUCACGCACUGUUUCCCCCUUUGUGUGCUUCGAAAAAUAAAAUAAAAAUAAAACUGAAAAAUUAGUGUCA
rnacentral:lncRNA from 1 species